rnacentral:lncRNA from 1 species
GUCAUAUUUUCUCCAUUUGGAGAGGCUGGCUGACCCAUCAAUGGGCAGUGUGGGGGAAUGGAGAGACCUGGGAUUUUGGGGACAACAGUGACCAUGAGGGGAUCUCUACACUCCUACUUGGAAAUGGAGUAGCAUUCUACACUUAAGUAUCUCCCUUUAUAAGCUAGGAAUACUAAGAACCUAAGAGUCUCCAUGAGGAUUAGAUGAGGUAAUGUUUGUAAAGAAUCUGAGAUAUAGUAAGUUGAUCAGCAUAUGUUAUUUAUCCUCUUCUUCCCUCUACAAAGAUAACUAAGCUGAGAUAGCCUAACUCCCCCAGCUCAGAAAAUAGCAAGUUAUUUGCAAAAUCAAAUGCUGAUGUAACCAUUUCCAUUCUGAACUCAGAAAAUGGAGAUAAAUCUCUUGCAAGGCUUUUGAUUUUAGUUUUUAGAUACAGAACCUUUAAAAAAAAAGAAAAAUAAACGUUUUGCCAAAGUGUAGUAUAUACAACAGAUGUGAGGGAAGGACAUUGUUUUAAGUGGGAAACGUCAGCUCUCUCAACUUCUACACAUUCGACUAUUCCCUACUCCUCAGUGACCCCAAAGACCCCAGAGAAACUCAGUAUGAAAAAUCACUAUGGAAGUGCAAUAGUUAUUACUUUGUUUGGAAUUCACUACAACACUGUUUCUCAAAAUAUAAUUCCUGAGUCACUUGGAAGAUUACAACCAACUGAAUUAGAAUCUCUGGAAGGCAUCCUAAGAGUCUGCAUUUGUAUGAAGCUUCCCAGGUGGUUCUGCUCAGCCCUAAGUUUGAAAACUACUGGCAGAAUAGUAGCAGAGUUACUUAUUCUACAUUCGUUUUUUAACCCAUUGUAAAAAUCAUACAUGUAUGUUCAAGACACCGGCAGAUCACAGGAAGGGAAAAAAAAUCACUUAUGCUUCCACCACCUUAACCUAGAAACCUUUAGGACUUUUCAGUACUUCCUUUCUGUCUUUUUCCCCUAUACCUAAGUUUUUAUUUACAAUAUAGUUGUAGCCAUAUGAUUGUUGCUUUCAUUGUUGCUUACAUGUGUUAAAUAAUUUUGUCUCUGUAUAAUAACAACCUCUGGCGAUUUUUCCUUUCUCUCUCUCUCUUUUUUUUUUUCUUUUGUUUAGACGGAGUCUUGCUCUGUCACCCAGGCUGGAGUUUAGUGGCAUGAUCUUGGCUCACUGCACCCUCCGCCUUCUGGGAUCAAGUGAUUCUCCUGCCUUAGCCUCCUGAGUAGCUGGGACUAUAGGUGUACAUCACCACACCUGGCUACUUUUUGUAUUUUUAGUAGAGAUGGGGUCUCAUCUGGUGAUUUUUCAAGUAAGGUAAUGGAAGCAAGAGAGGUUUACAUACAUGGUGUACAUAUACCUCGGCAGCCUGUUUCCUUCCCUUAUAACUAUCUCAAAAAAACAUAUUAAGUUAUUUUUCAGAAUUAUGUUUUUUCCUGUUGCUUUUGACUGUAAAGGGCAGACUUAAAUUUAGUUAACAUCUGCUCUAACGUUGGAUCAUGUGUGGAGUCCCCAGUUUUCAACAUUAAAAAUAAAGUAUUUGUUGAAGUGGGGUUUUUUUCUUCUUACAGUAUAUGUAGAACCAUUUUCUUGAAAAUGUUUCUUAGAAAUUUGUUACUUAGAAGAUUUGAGCCAAUGAUACAUUGCCGAGAUUUGUAAGAGUAAGACCAGCCUACGCUGAGUAUUAUUUUCUCAAAGGAAUAUUAUGAGGCACAUCCCAUCUUCAUAUCAGGGAACAAACUGUCACAUUUUAGUGAAAUCUGUGGGUUAUGUGUGACCACACACAGUGUCGUGUUUGCUCCCUUUACAGAAAUCUAAGUAAAAGAAUCACUUUUUCCUAGUAUCUGGAUGACUUGAUUUCUUACUAUCUUGGGCCUUCUUGGAAACCCUGAAAUGUAGCCUUUUCAUCUUAAUUCACAAAGUGUUCAUUCUCACCCUUUUCCUUCAUGAGAAUUUUCUGAAGCUAUUGUGAAUCUAUGGAAGACUCAAGGUAGUAUCUUUUUCACAGCAUUCAAAAAAAUGCUGCUGGCUCCUUGGCUUGUCCGGUGCAUCCUCCGUGCCAGCCCCCGCUGUCCUAGAACCAUCUAAGCUAACUCUCCGAUGAGCUCUGGCCUCUGGACCUCAGCCUAUCCAGGCCCCUUCAUGACCCAGUCACAGUGAUUCUAUCUGUACCUACCACAGCUAGGUAGGCGGUAUGGGAAGACCACAAACUUGAGAGUCAGACGGAUCGAACUUCGUCUUUAGCCCCCCACUUAGGUGUUAUGUGACUGUGGUCGGGUUAUUGGUAACAUCUUCUUGCUCAGCUUCCUGACCUGCAGAAUGGGAAUAAGAAUACCUAGCACAUAGGGUUAUAAUGAAGAUGAAACUGCUUAACGCAUGUGAAUAACAACAAUGGCUAACAUGUAUCAGACGCUUGUCUUAGUGUUUAUUGUUUUAUGCGUAUUGUCCUGUUUCAUCCUCAUGCUUACCCUGAGAGAAAGGUGGUAUUAUUAUUCUUAUUUUGCAGGUGAGGCUUAAAGAGGUCAAUUAUUAGGUUGAACUGUAUGAAAUGACUGUUUUUAUAGGGAAAAACAGUAGCCGAUCAUCAAUUCCCUAAGGUUCCACGUAAUAAUUUGUCCAGGUCUCAUAGCAAAAAGGUGGCCGGAUGAGGAUUUGAACCCACUGCUCUCCAACCCCUAAGCCCGUGCUUUGUAGAAUUAAUCGGAGCUCUAAAGUACUUGACCCUGGGCCUGACACCAAUCAGGAGCUUAAAACCCAUUAGUUUCUUUUUUGUUUUAUUUUUGCCCACUAUUAAAAUGUGCCAAAGUAAUAAGAUCAAACAGGGCCCCUGCGUUUUGACAAACAUCCGAAUUCUGAAUUUCAGCGUGGAACAGGGCAUGGAAAGCAAACACAAUGGGGAAAAUUGCCGUGGCCGGUCCCGACAAUGUGUGGAUUAAAAAACCACAUGCAUGCACAGAGACCUGAUGUGAAUGGUAUUUCUGAGUGGAAGCUAAGUAGGAGCUGAAAAUGGCCUUUUAAAAUACAGAACAUAAGGAUGCAAUUCACAGAGAUGGUCUAAACUGUAAACAUGCAGCUGUGGGGUUUGUGAGGCUCAUUGCUUACAUACCGACAGCAUACAAAUUGUCAAGUACUUAAAGUUCCAUUGUUGCUGAAAGGGCCUCCACCCAAUGUCCUUAAAUGGUCCCCCCUUUUUUUUUUUUUUCAAACCACAGGAUUUACAUCUCUCGUAGCAUCUAAUGAAAUACCAGCAAGAAUUGUGUGUUGGUGUAAGAAAUAAUAAUCUUUCCAAAUCCUUUUGUUUUGUUAUCAUUUGCUAAUAGAGAUCUUUGAAAGAAAAUUCAAAGAUUGAAGUUUGUAUUCUCCUAAACUCCUGCAAAGAAGUCCUGUGCAAGGAUCGUUCACUAGUGUUCUGCAUCGUUCUUCUUACUCAACUCUCCCGAGAGGCAUUGUGGACGCCUGUGGGGUUGGUUUUUGGCACCCAUCCCUGACCCCUUCUUCUCCAGGAAACUCUGUUCCUACCUGCUCCUCUUGUGGCUACCUUGGGAGGUGCCAUUUUUAUCAAGGUUAGUGUGUGGUUAAGCACCUUCCCACAAGCUCAGGGGAAAAAAAGGUCCCCUCCCCAGAUUUUUUUUAGAACUGGAAGUUUCCAUUUCCUGGCACUGGUGAAAGCUCUAGGACAUAAAACUUGGGAGCCGAUGGCCUUCAGGCUGCCCAUAAUGUGAAGAGAGGUCAUUUCAGACAUUCAGAUAAAGUCUGUGGCUCCAGUAUUUUUCUAGGUCUUGCUCCCUCCCUGACCUUUUCACAGUUUGGUGACACAACUCUUCCUUGAAUUCCAUAGGUUGACAAAUUCCCCUGAGUUUGGGUUAGGGUUUUGUUACUUGCAAGGCAGGCAUCACAGGGCUGCUCCUGGCCAUGCAUAGCUUUGGAAUCACUUCUCUGAUUCUCAUGGCUCGGGAAGGAGAAAGUGUCCUGUGUGUGGAGAUGGCAGGGUGGCUGGAGUUGAGAGGAGAGUCCCUUGAAUGCCACGCAACAUUUCUCUCUGUAGGUGUCCUCUGCACACUGUCCAAACUCCAUUUUUAACCUUGACUGCAUAGUACCGUGUACAUUCAUUAAGCAUCCCUCGCCAUAGGAGAAUCUGAGUUCCUGGGAGCAUUUAACACAGUUCCUGGCCUUGAGUAAAAACUUCAUAAGCACUUGUUGAAUUGAACUGAAUUUGUUGUCUGUGUUUAAAGGACUUGAUGGAUAAAGGGAGAUUUAACAGUUUAUAGCCAGAUUGGACUCAACCAUGAUGAUUUCUGGUCCAUCUUUUAGAAUGUCUUCACUUCUCUUGGCCUUUAUUUCUCCAAGUGGUGAUAAUGAGACCUAUCCCUAACGGUUAAAGUGACAUGGUCCAUUUAAAGUGCUUAAACCAAUUGCCAGGCACAUAAUAGGUGCUCAAUAAAUACUUCCUUUAUUUCCCUGUUAGGCCUCUCCCAACCAGAGAUCAAAGAUGAUUGGCCCUGAAGUUAUUUUUCCCCCCAAAUUUGAUAGAAAUCAGUAGAGAUGCUAAAAUAUAAUACAUUUGACCUGCAUUGAUCAAGGUAGGCUAACUGCUAUAACAACUUUACAAUUAGUGCCUUAACAUAAUAUAAAAUGACUUCUUGUUCAUGUAACAUCCAAGGUAGCUGUACCUAGUUGCAAUGCUCUCUUCCAAGUAGAUAUUUAGGGACACGGGCUCCUUCUAUCUUCUGUCACCACCACCUUUAUUUUUAGCAUCCGCGGUCUUAGCAACAGUAGAAGGAAAGAAUGGAGAUAAGACAGUGGGUAUUUAAUCACCUUAGCCCAUAAGUGACUCACGUCACUUCUGACUACCAUAUCCAAUUUUUGCCUCUCUUUUUUUCUUGGGUUCCCCCCGACAAAAAAAAAUAUGACAGAAGUGUCACCCAUCCAGCCAGCCAGCCAUCAAUCCGGUAUCCAUUCAUCCAUCCAUCCAUCUAGGCAUCCCAGGUGACUCAUUCCUGUGACCUUGGGAGACAGUCUUUCUUCCUAGAGGUUGUUUGCCCCAACCCCCUGUUACAUUCUUGAACCAUAUGUUUCCCAUUGUUUGCACUUCCCCUAGUCACCUGGUGCUUUAAUUUUUGCCUGUAACCUUCUGAAACUUUCCUUAAAUGUUCGGCUUUGACCUGUCAUUCACUAAGUCUUUCACCAUCCUUCACUCAUCUUACCUCCUUCUUCUGUGGCAUUUCAUAAAUUUAAUGAUUGUAAUUGUGAUUACAACAUAAUUGUUUAUGUCUACCCCAGGCUUUGCAACAGGGAACUAUAUCAUUAUUUUGCAGACACAACAAAUUCUGCAAGCAUGUAUCUUUGGAAUAAAGGAGAGAGGGUUGGACACAAAUGUGAUUACAACAUAUGCUUCUCUGGGCAUAGCUUUGCCCCAUUGCACGAAUAUAGAAAAUUUGGCAGGCUGAAAAUAAGCGGAAAGAUCCUCAAGCUGUUCCUUCCACCCCCUGGGAUGCUGAUUAAGAUUUCAGAUUUUAUUUAUUCUACGGGUAUUUGUUGAAUAUUUAUUUCUUACGAUACCACGCACUGCUUUAGGCACUGGGAAUAUAGCAGGAUAUACAAAACAGAAAAAUCAUGGCCCUCAUGGAUUAUUGGUUGUGAGUAAUAGGAACCUUUCAAUCUAACUUAGGAAAAAAGGUUAGGGAGCCAAGGAGGAAGAGUGGGUGUGAUGAUGCAUCAGGAUACCAGAGAAUCCCGUGGAAUCCCACAGUGACACAGCCAAGCCUUGGGAGGGGUGACACUAGCGAUAGAGACAGAAACCCACACAGGAGUCCUUUUCUCUGUCUCUCAUCUCUGCUUUUCUCUGUACAUCUGGUUCAAUUAUUCUCUUGCCACGAAUCAGCUAUUUGUAUUCCUCUGUGCACGUCGCAGAAGAUCAGGAAUUUGCACAUUAUAGUCACAACCAUACCUAGAACCAAAUUGCCUAACACUGAAUCCCAAAUCCAAAUUCCUGGGAGAUAGAAUUCAAUUCUUCUCUUGCCACAAAUCAGCUGUUUAUACUCCUCUUUGCACGUUGCAGAAGAUCAGGAAUUUGCACAUUAUAGCCACAACCAUACCCAGAACCAGAUUGUCUAACACUGAAUCUCGAAUCCAAAUUCCUGGAUUUGGAUGGACUCAAUCUGGACCCAGUAUCUACAUUUGGUCCAGUCAUCUGUAUCCGGCAUCGGGGUCUUGUUGAAAAACCAUGGCUUAGCCGGGUACAGUGGCUCAUACCUGUAAUCCCAGCCACUUGGGAGGCUGAAGUGGGAGGAUCGCUUGAAGCCAGGAGUUUGAGACCAGCCCGGGCAACACAGGGAGGCAACAUCUCUAAAAGAAUUUUUUAAGGAAUAAAAAGGAAAAGCAUGGCUUUUAUUCUAAGAGCAAAGGCAUUUUGUAUAUUUGGCAGGUAUCCCAACAGAUGCAUCACCCAGUCUCUUAAAUUAAGAUAAUAAUUUAUUUGGCAAGUGAAUUCUUCUAGUGUAGUUAGAUAGUGAUGAAAAGAUUUUUAUACCUCCAAACACACACACGCACAUGCACACCCACCAGGCUCUUCUUUACUUCUCACUCAUAGAUUUGAAAACAACUAUUAUAUUAUAGAAGUUUUUUGGUAUAGCUGCCAGGGGUCAUUGUUUCCAUCCCCUGUGUGGAGAUAAGAAAAUCGAGAUCCAGUGGAGUGUGGGGUGCUGAGAGAACAAGUCUAUGUUUUCUUGAGACAAAGUCUUGAUCUGUUGCCCAGGCUCGAGUGCAGUGGCAGCAUCUUGGCUCACUGCAACUUCUGCCUCCCGUGUUCAAGUGAUUCUCCUGUCUCAGCCUCCUAGGGAGCUGGGAUUACAGGUGUGCACCACUAUGCCCAGCUAAUUUUUAUAUUUUCAGUAGAGAUGGGGUUUUGCCGUGUUGGCCAGGCUGGUCUUGAAUUCUUGACCUCAGGUGAUCCAUCCACUUUGGCCUCCCAAAGCGCUGGGAUUACAGGCAUGAGCCUAACUAUCCUCAUUAAGCCAUCUGCUUUCUGCAGUCAUUUUCAUGGCGAUGUGUUAUAACAGGACAGACCUUGUACUUUGGAAUCAAACAUUCUCAACUCUGCUAUCUGCUCUUUGUGGGGCCCUGAACAAAAAUCUUUACUCUCUUUGAGCCUUCGCUUCCUCAUUGGUCAAGACUUUUCUCACUGCAUUAUAUUUGAGUGAGACCCGUAUCAAUGGAUUGAAAUUCUCAGAAACCCAAGACCAGGAAUAGCCCAGUGACAGGAAUUUAGACCAUGCCAAGUGUGAACCAUGGCUUGCGGGGGCUCCUGUCUCACGCUGGAUGCUCCUGCCUGGCUGCCUCUGGUCUCCAGCAGAAGACCUGUCGUGCUUGAGUGACAAAGCAGAUUGCUUCCUCCCACCUCUGUGGGUUAGGACCCCUUUUUCUAUCCUAGUUUCACUCUGAUGGGCGAGUUCACUCACAGUGAAACCGUAGCAAAACCUCAAGGUUUGGCUUAACUGCAAAGGGGUGGUUGAUAUCAGAUUCAUACGCCAGAACCAGAAGACCACUCGUGAGAAAUUCUGUAAGCACAGGAGUGUGGUUUAUGUCAAAAUCAAUCUGAUGGAGUGAAGCCAUUCCUUGCCAAGCGAAAAUACAGCAUCAUCAACUACAUCCUUGAGCCUAGAACCUCUUCACUCAGCACCAGCUAGUGGGUAAAGCCCGGGAGAGGUUGUAACAAAUCUGAUUCCCUGACACUCACCUGAAACAAGAUUCAGCAAAAUUAAAAGCAAUAUUAAUAUAUGUCGCCUUGGGAAACAGAGGCAGAGGAGAACAGGAAAGAGUCAGAUGGACUUUGAUUUGAGACCCGUUUCUGCUUCUUCCCAGGGUGUGACCUCAGCGGAGUUCCAGAGCAUCCAUCUCCUUUGUAAGACACAGAUAAUACCAACUGCAUGGAUUUGUUAUGAGAGUUACAUCAGGGGAGGGUCAUGAGGUCACCUUCCCAUGGCCAGGAGAAGCAGGUACUCAGGAAUGGCUACUUCUCUGGCCACUUUAUAGACCUAUGGAGAUGUUGAAAGUAGCCCAAAGGAACUGUGUGCCUCGCAUCUUGGUCCAUCUUCAUGGGUUGAUCAUUGUGGUUCAUAUCACUGUUUCAUGAAACACAGCCCGCCAGAAAGUCGCGAGUGUUUUGAUUUCAUCCUAUACCUAUAGUUACAGGCCAUUUAAGAUCCACAGUCUGCUCUUUUAGCUUCUGCCAGCACAUUUGGACAUCUGUGCAGUUCCCAGGGCAGGUGAAGAGUUGUUCAUGUGAUGCAAACUUUUGAGAAGGGACGUGUAGGGAAGAUGGGAGGGAGGUGAUAUUUAUUGAGUAUUUUCUUUUUGCUUUCAGCUUUAUACCUUGUGUGUGCUUACAGAGGUCAUGAAUUGUCCGCUGUUGUAUGUGUAAUCCGUGGCAGAUGUGCAUAAUAAGUUCAGGAGGGGCUCGGUUUUGGGAGGCCGGGGAUACUAGAAGAUAACCCUAAAAUGUGGAAAUCUACAUCAGAGAGUGGUGUGAGUGGUUCCCAAAAUGCCUACCUGGCACUCCUACCAAAGACACAGCAGAGAACUUGGGGCCUCUUGUUUCAGCCAUUUUCAUCUUCACUGUAAAUCUAGACAAGAUAAUGAAUGAAGAACCUGACACAUUUAAGGAACUCCAUAGUUGGGAGCCCAGUGUGAGUCAUUAUGGCGAGUCCCUAACACUGCGGUUCCCCUACUUGAGGGCGCAGGUAGGGGCACUUUGCUGCCUCCUUUGACAAUAAGCAUUGCCAUUGCCAUGUGAUUUGCUUUGCCUAAUGAAAUGUGAGUGACACUUCCAGAUGGAAAUAUUAAGAGCCAGUGUGUGGUUCACCCUGACCCCUUCCUAUGCCCCAGCAAUUAAGGAAGCAAUGUUCAGAUGAAACCCAUGUCUUCCUCCUGGGUCCCUGAGUGACCACAGUCAACAGAGCUUCCCUGUUGGCCAUUACUAAUGUCAAGAACAAAGCUGUGUAAAGUCACUAAGAUUUUGGAGGUAUCGGCUGUUGCAGUAGAACCUAGCCUAUCUCACCUGACACAAACGUUUUCUUUCUCACAAAACCUCACACCAGUGUUGUUUUAUUCAUCUGCUUAUGCACGCGUAUGGCUGCAACAUCCUUCCAAAAUGCAUUACAGGCUCUAAUGCACGAUAAGACAGUUAGGUUCGAAGGAAAACAAAGACAAUUGCACGGCACAGAGGGAAUAUACUGCUACGGUAAACCGAUCACUAACACCCGGCCCUGAAUUUGCUUCAAAGUUUUCACUAAGGCACAAAGGGAGCCGUGUGGAGCUCCGGAGUUCCCAUCUGAGGUCUUGUCUAACUCCUUGGCAACUUUUAUGUAUUUGUAUAGGAGACUCUUUUGCCAGAUGGUUGAAAUGUUCAUCCUCCUAUUUUGUUUUAAUGCAAACUGACAUUUCUUCAUCUUCCUGCGGUGGGUUUCUUUUAUGAGGUCGUGCUUUGCAUUUUCAUAGAAAGAAUUUCUGACUCCCGAUCGGAGCCCACCCUUGUAGUUUCUGUGGGGGCUGUUUUGGUUAACCACUCGCAUCAGUUUUAAGUCUCCACAGGCAGAACCAGACCAUCGUGAACUUCUUGAUUUACAUGGUGGUGGAGAGUGGCUGAGAAACCAGGGAGAAACAGGAAGGAGCUGAUUGAGGAGACCAAAGGAGGGUGGGGCCGCAGCUCUCAGGCACUCUUGGUGUUCAGAAGGCCAGCUUGAAGAAAGAUGUGCAUAUUUGCAAAUGCAUUUCUUGUUCCUAGUGAAGAGGUGAGGAAGGACACUGACUGUGCUAGAGCUGUACAAAGAGAAGUAGAACUCUAAAUAGAGAAAAUAUGUAAAGAUCAAUAAAUCACACCAAAAAUAAGUCAUAAGAACAACAAAUAAUACCAGGAAUAAAUAAUGUAAAAUAUAAAUAAUUCCUAAAAUGGUGAUAACAGCUUAUGACAAGUAAUUUCUUUUUUUUGAGAUGGAGUCUCGCUCUGUUGCCCAGGGUAGAGUGCAGUGGUACAGUCUCGGCUCACUGCAACCUCUGCAACCCAGGUUCAGUCGAUUCUCCUGCCUCCUGAGUAGCUGGGACUACAGGUGCAUGCCACCACGCCCGGCUACUUUUUGUAUUUUCAGUAAAGAUGGGGUUUCACCAUAUUGGUCAGACUGGUCUUGGACUCCUGGCCUCGUGAUGCACCCGCAUCGGCCUCCCAAAGUGCUGGGAUUACAGGCAUGAGCCACCGCACCUGGAGGACAAGUAAUUUCUAAGUAUUAUUUCUUUUAAUCCUCACAGUGACUCCUUGUUAGGGUUUGCUGCAUUUUAUACAAAGAAGAAAGGAGUCUGUGGAAGUGACAUAAAGUAGGACAUGUAUUCAUUUACUGAUUCAACCUUUCAUUUGUACAUAUAUGUAUAUUUUACAGACACGGUCACCCUGUCUAGGUAUUAACAGUUAUUACAAAGAUGAUAUAAUUUUGCAAUCAAAAUACAGACACAGUUGUCUGUCUCCCAGGCUGGAGUGCAGUGGCACAAUUAUAGCUCACCACAGCCUUGAACUACUAGGCUUAAGCAAUCCUCCCGCCUCAGCCUCCCAAAGUGCUGGGAUUACAGGCAUGAGUCGCCACACUCAAUUAUACACUUAAAUAUACAUAUAUAUAUACAAUAUACAUAUGUAAAUAUAUCUGCAUAUACAUGUUUAGGGACAAAAACACGGGAGUACCAUUUCUGUCUUUGUCUCUCUCUCUCUUUCUCUCACUUGACUCUGUUGGGAGCUAUAUUAGUUGUUUUCUCUUUCCAAACCAC